rnacentral:rRNA from 1 species
GAGUGGCGAACGGGUGAGUAACACGUGGGAAACCUACCUCUUAGCAGGGGAUAACAUUUGGAAACAGAUGCUAAUACCGUAUAACAAUGACAACCGCAUGGUUGUUAUUUAAAAGAUGGUUCUGCUAUCACUAAGAGAUGGUCCCGCGGUGCAUUAGCUAGUUGGUAAGGUAAUGGCUUACCAAGGCGAUGAUGCAUAGCCGAGUUGAGAGACUGAUCGGCCACAAUGGGACUGAGACACGGCCCAUACUCCUACGGGAGGCAGCAGUAGGGAAUCUUCCACAAUGGGCGAAAGCCUGAUGGAGCAACGCCGCGUGUGUGAUGAAGGGUUUCGGCUCGUAAAACACUGUUGUAAGAGAAGAAUGACAUUGAGAGUAACUGUUCAAUGUGUGACGGUAUCUUACCAGAAAGGAACGGCUAAAUACGUGCCAGCAGCCGCGGUAAUACGUAUGUUCCAAGCGUUAUCCGGAUUUAUUGGGCGUAAAGCGAGCGCAGACGGUUAUUUAAGUCUGAAGUGAAAGCCCUCAGCUCAACUGAGGAAUUGCUUUGGAAACUGGAUGACUUGAGUGCAGUAGAGGAAAGUGGAACUCCAUGUGUAGCGGUGAAAUGCGUAGAUAUAUGGAAGAACACCAGUGGCGAAGGCGGCUUUCUGGACUGUAACUGACGUUGAGGCUCGAAAGUGUGGGUAGCAAACAGGAUUAGAUACCCUGGUAGUCCACACCGUAAACGAUGAGUGCUAGGUGUUUGAGGGUUUCCGCCCUUAAGUGCCGCAGCUAACGCAUUAAGCACUCCGCCUGGGGAGUACGACCGCAAGGUUGAAACUCAAAGGAAUUGACGGGGACCCGCACAAGCGGUGGAGCAUGUGGUUUAAUUCGAAGCAACGCGAAGAACCUUACCAGGUCUUGACAUCCCUUGACAACUCCAGAGAUGGAGCGUUCCCUUCGGGGACAAGGUGACAGGUGGUGCAUGGUUGUCGUCAGCUCGUGUCGUGAGAUGUUGGGUUAAGUCCCGCAACGAGCGCAACCCUUAUUACUAGUUGCCAGCAUUCAGUUGGGCACUCUAGUGAGACUGCCGGUGACAAACCGGAGGAAGGUGGGGAUGACGUCAAAUCAUCAUGCCCCUUAUGACCUGGGCUACACACGUGCUACAAUGGCGUAUACAACGAGUUGCCAACCCGCGAGGGUGAGCUAAUCUCUUAAAGUACGUCUCAGUUCGGAUUGUAGGCUGCAACUCGCCUACAUGAAGUCGGAAUCGCUAGUAAUCGCGGAUCAGCACGCCGCGGUGAAUACGUUCCCGGGUCUUGUACACACCGCCCGUCACACCAUGAGAGUUUGUAACACCCAAAGCCGGUGGGGUAACCUUCGGGAGCCAGCCGUCUAA